AUGCUUCUUCUCCUAAAAAGGAACGGUACCCCUUUUUCUUCCAAGUUAACACGCCGCCGUCACCGCCGCGAGCAAAUCGUGCCGCUGCGACUACCUCCGUCGUGGUUCCCUCAUCAUCACCAACCGCACCAGCGUCACUCUCUCCACGGACCUCUCAGUUCGACUUUCCUCUGCAUUUUCGAUUCGCUUUUUCCUUUUUAA